UGUCUUCAAUUUCAGUUGGUUUAGCUUUUAACUCAUCAGAAAAUGUAGCGGGAUCAUCGAGAGCUUUAGCAACUCUCUGUUGGACCAAAAUGGCCCUCAUUUUCUGUUUUCAUAUUGAGUAAUCCCCCUUUCCAUCGAAUUACGAUAAUUCGACCCUCGAACCCAUUACAGAUUCUAUAAAAGAGGUACUCGUGGACAAAACAGAAAAGGUUUUUGAAAUUUUUUUUUUCCAGAUGAUCAAUAUAAAAAUAUGAAUGCCGAGUUUAAAAACAAUUUUAGAAAUGAAGCACAACAAUCACAUAAUCCGUCCACAAAACACAGGUAUAUAAUGCAAGUAAAUAUGCUUCCAGGUUACAAAUUAAUCACAAGAAUUCAAUCAACGGAAUUCACAAAUAGGCAACCAAGCAAUAAUCAUGCAUAAACCGGUAAGGAUACCAAACCUAACCUAACGAAGAGCUUGGAAUAAUCUUACCAAACUACUAUUGAAAAAC
rnacentral:lncRNA from 1 species